GCCAGCUGUGUCUGAGGAAGCUCUCCUCGGUGGGCUGCUUCUUCCCCUGUCCUCUCGCUCACAUUUCCUGGGUGGGAGCAGUUCCAGGCAGAAAGGACAACACGGGGAGGAGGACACCUUCUGGGGGCCUCUCACAGCCCUUCCAAUCCCUCUCCAGGGCCUGGGAAAGAGCCUGUUUACAGACUGGUGCUGGCUCUUCCCUCACCUGUGCGCCCCGCCCAUUCCCAAAGAGCAGGGCAGUCAGUUGGCUGGUGGCCGGAAAGGCUUCGGAACACGCAGGACAGACGUCUCCUUAGCCCGCUGCAGCCCUCUCCCGCCUCUACCAACUGCGGGCAGCACCUUUGGUCGGCCUGGGGGUGAGGCACAGAGCUCCACACCCAGGCAACUCAAGUGUGUGUGUGGUAAGGGGACACUGGGAGCGGCUGGACGACCCCCUCCUGCCGAACAGACAAGAGCCCCAGGACAAACUGGGAUGGAGCCAGGUCCUGACUGCAGCCUCUGGCCACCACCUCUCUGAGAAGCCCUUUAAAAGGACCAGCGCCUGCGGAGGGGAGACCCUGAGAACUUAAGCCUCAGCGUUGCACAAGUUUAAAAAGGGAAGUGCUUGACUUUGGAUUGAGAGUUGACUCUUCAGUGUGCGGAAGUCCUGAAUUAUUUCACAGGGAGAGUUAGAAAAAGCAAAGCUUCCCAAGGCUGCCAUUCACUUCUUGAGUCUAGAGGCACAUUAUCUUGUCUGGCCCCGUGGACAGCUAUUUUUUUGCGGGGUGGAGUGGGGGGUGGUUCAAACACCACAGAAGCAAAACAGCCACAAGAAAACAAAGGCUUGAAGAGAUUUCUGCUCCCACCCCACCGCCUCAGUCUGGAGAUCCAAACUCACCUCGGUAGCAGGAAAGCUCCUUUUCUGCCCAGCUCCCAGGUUCUUGCUUCAGCUGCAGAUCUGACAUUUGCCUCUGCAGGCACCAGCUUCACUGCUGGCACUCAGACACAGCUGUAAGCUACUGGCCGAUGGUGCUCAUUAAAAAGCUAUGACAUAUACCUAUUGCAUCACUUGCCAGCACAAUCCCUGAGUGACCACUGAGUCCGGAGGGGCAUUUAUCCCAUGACAGUGCAUCAUCAGAGGUGCCCUGCUAUCAUCCCUGCAGGUAGGACACACAGGGCUCAUGCAGCCCCAGAACUCCCAGGGCCUUGUGUUCAUCUCCUUUACAGAUGCCCAGCCAUCAGUGUGGGUCCCAGCCUCAAGGAUCAGUUGAGAUUCAAGGUGGGUUUUGUUAUUAUUGUUGGUUAGAUCUUUGCCCAGAAUUUCAGAACCUUCAAUGCUACCUGGUUUCCUGUCUCAAAGUUAAAACUUCAUUGUAUUAUGUCAUUCAAGUCCCCACAAGGGUAGCUCUGUGGAGUGGUACAGGGGAGAGUGAAACUCAAGCAAUAGGGUUUCCUAGCUCAGCACCUACCAGAUGUUUCUGGUGACAUCCACCUGCAACCCCCAGCUCUCUGGCAGAAGUGGCUCCUAGGAGUUGCUCUUGUUGGAUUCUUAUUAAUUGCCCUCUUGAACAGCUGUAAUGAAUGGAAUGGCUCUGAUCUCCAAAAGGCCAGGGCUUCUCAGGGUUGCUUCCUCACCACUACAGCCAAGGAAAAGGUAUAUAGGGUCCCUGCAGAGCCCUCUAGUGGUACCCCUCCACAUUAUACGCCUCUUACAGGAAACGUUCCAAGACUCCUAGUGAUGACACUACAAUAAGCCAAUAAGCCACUUCCUUCUUUGGAAUAAGCUUACAGCAAAAGAAUUACAUGUUGUAUAUUAAAGAGGAUCUUUUUACUACAAAAUAAUACUUCUAUGUGUUUCAUCAAGUUCAUCAAUAAAAUUUAUUAUAUAUAGUAACUAAAACAAAUAUCACAUAAUAAUUGCACACGUUUUUAAGCACAUGCUAUGUAUUAUUUAUGUUAACUGUUUUACAUAAAUAAUUUCAUUUCCUACUCUCAAAAGCUCUGUAAGAUUGUUGUUAUCUCGUUUCAUAGAUGGGGAAACUGAGGCUGAGAGGAUAAUGUCGCAGGUCACAGACUGAGUAACUGGCCAAGCGGGGAUUUAAAUCCAAGUGUGAACUAUUCAAAAGCCUGAACUUAUAACCAGUACGUUAUUCUCUUACAUGUUGGAGAGAUAAAAUGCAAAAAUUCCUCAUAGCUAUUCCAAGUCAGCUGAGAGAUACGUGUCAAGUUUGAAUGUGGUUUUGAUAUAUGAUACAUGACUUCACCGUGCCUGAGCAUCUGUACACUCCUGGGGAAACUGGUUUAUACUUGUGCUGAUGUGGAUGUCCUCCAGCACUUCACAUUGGCCUCUACACACGUGUUCUACUAGGCAAGUCACAAUGACAAGUUGUACUAGUCUGUUUUCACCCUGCUGAUAAAGACAUACCUGAGACUGGGAAGAAAAAGAGGUUUAAUGGACUUAUAUUUCCACGUGGCUGGGGAGGCCUCACAAUCAUGGUGGAAGGCAAGGAGGAGCAAGCCACGUCUUACAUGGAUGGCAGCAGGCAAAGAGAGUGCUUGUGCAGGGAAACUCCCCCUUAUAGAAUCAUCAGAUCUCAUGAAACUUAUUCACUAUCAUGAGAGCAGCAUGGGAAAGGCCUGCCCCCAUGAUUCAAUUACCUCCCAGUGGGUCCCUCCCACAACAUAUGGGAAUUCAAGAUGAGAUUUGGGUGGGGACACUGCCAAACCAUAUCAUUCUACCCCUGGCACCUCCCAAAUCUCAUAUCCUCAUAUUUCAAAACCAAUCUUGCCUUCCCAUCUAUCCCCCAAAGUCUUAAUUCAUUUCAGCAUUAACUCAAAAGUCCACAGUCCAAAGCCUCAUUUGAGACAAGGGAAGUCCCUUCCACCUAUGAGCCUGUAAAAUCAAAAGCAAGUUAGUUACUUCCUGGAUAAAUGGGGGUACAGGCAUUGGGUAAAUACAGCUGUUCAAAAUGGGAGGAACUGGCCAAAACGAAGUGGCUACAGGCCUCAUGCAAGUCCAAAAUCUAGCAGGGCAGUUGAAUCUUAAAGCUUUGAAAUGCUCUCCUUUGACUCCAUGUCUCACAUCUGGGUCACACCAAUGUAAGGGGGGGGUUCCCAUGUUCUUGGGCAGCUCUGCCUCUGUGGCCUUGCAGGGUACAGCCUCCCUCCCAGCUGCUUUCAUGGGCUGGCAUUGAGUGUCUGUGGCUUUUCCAGGCACAGAGUGCAAGCUGUCUGUGGAUCUACCAUUCUGGGGUCUGGAGGACAGUGGCCCUCUUCUCAUAGCUCCACUAGGCAGUGCCCCAGUAGGGACUGUGUGUGUGGGCUCUGACCCCAAAUUUUGCUUUUGCACUGACCUAGUAGAGGUUCUCCAUGAGGGUGCCACCCCUGCAGCAAACUUCUGUCUGGGCAUCCAGGUGUUUUCAUAAUCCUCUGAAAUCUAGGUAAAGGUUCCCAAACCCCAAUCCUUGACUUCUCUGCACUUGCAGGCUCAACACCACAUGGAAAUUGCCAAGGCUUGGGGUUUACACCUCCUGAAGCAACAGCCCAAGCUCUAUGUUGGCCCCUUUCAGCUACUGCUGGAGCAGCUCGGAUGCAGGGCACAAAGUCCCUAGGCUGCACACAGAAUGGGGACCCUGGGCCUGGCCCAGGAAACCAUCUUUUCCUCCUAGGCUUCCGGGCCUGUGAUGGAAGGGGCUGUUGUGAAGACCUCUGUCACGUCCCAGAGACAUUUUCCCCAUUGUCUUGGUGAUUAACAUUCAGCUCCUUGUUAUUUAUGCAAAUUUCUGCAGUUGGCUUGAAUUUCUCCCCGGAAAAUGGGAUUUUCCUUUCUAUUGCAUUGAGGCUACAAAUUUUCUAUUGCAUCAGGCUGCACAUUUUCCAAACUUUUAUGCUCUGCUUCCCUUUUCAAACUGAAUGCCUUUAACAGCACCCAAGUCACCUGUUGAAUGCUUUGCUGCUUAGAAAUUUCUUCUGCCAGAUAACCUAAAUCAUCUCUCUCAAGUUCAGUUUCACAAAUCUCUAGGGCAGGGGCAAAAUGCCAAGAGUCACCUUUGCUCCAGUUCCCAACAAGUUCCUAAUCUCCAUCUGAGACCACCUCAGCUUGGACUUUUUUGUCCAUAUUGCUAUCAGCAUUUUGGGCAAAGCCAUUCAACAAGUCUCUAGGAAGUUCCAAACUUUCCCACAUUUUCUUAUCUUCUUCUGAGCCCUCCAAACUGUCCCAAUCUCUGCCUAUUGCUCAGUUUCAAAGUCACUUCCAUAUUCUCGGGUAUCUUUUCAGCAAUGCCUCACUUUACUGGUACCAAUUUACUAUAUUAGCCCAUCUUCAUGCUGCUGAUAAAGACAUACCCAAGACUGGGAAGAAAAAGAGGUUUAAUGGACUUAUAUUUCCAUGUAGCUGGGGAGGCCUCACAAUCAUGCUGGAAGGCAAGGAGGAGCAAGUCAUGUCUUACGUGGAUGGCAGCAGGCAAAGAGAGAGCUUGUGCAGGGAAACUCUCCAUUAUAGAACCAUCGUUUCUCAUGAGACUUACUCACUCUCAUGAGAACAGCAUGGGAAAGACCUGCCCCCAUGAUUCAAUUACCUCCCAGUGGGUCCCUCCCACAACAUAUGGAAAUUCAAGAUGAGAUUUGGGUGGGGA
rnacentral:lncRNA from 1 species